AAUGAUCAUCAGAUUAAUAAAAAAAAACUUAUCAAUAUUUAAAAUUGAAAACAUUUAACACAAAAUCUCAUUCUCUCAACCGAAACAGUACGAAACUGAAAAUAAUAUUUACAACAUCAAUUCUAAAAAAACAUAAAUAAUGUUGAUACAACUAUACUCGUGUUAAAGAAGAACCAACACACAAUCAUAACGAAAAAUAAUUUAACAACCAGGCAUAUGCGACACAGGUUGUUACCAUAAUGUCAUCAGCGGUGGGUUUGCUUCCGAUCCCAGUAGAAAGGUUGGAGUUGAAACUUUCACAUUGUUGAUCAAUUUUCUUUUGUCUUAAAGUAGCAUCAUCCUCGAUGGACCAAAGCAUGAAUCAUCACCAACCUUGACGUACUCCUUUUUAGCUCCAUCACUAAUGGAUGUUCCAAACAAUGGUUGUUCACUCCACAAAUACGACAAUAUCAAGAUAAUUGUACAUCUUGUAAAAACAAUCUCAAACCAAAGGAAUAGCCCACAAUAUACAUGGAGUAAAAAGGAGAUGAUGACGCAGACUCAAGCAAUCUUAUUACUUCAUCUCUAAAUUUUUUUCUAGGGUAAGAAGUAAAGAUGUUGAUCCUUGGCCUAUCUGUGUGGGAAAGGAGAGGGUUUGGCUAUGUUUUACGGCGUCGGAGGAGGUGAAGUGAUGAGGGAUUAUUUUGUUGUUGUAGCCGGUGUGAAUGGAGAUCUCGGAAGCCAAUCGGUUGGAUGGGUUGUGUCGCCGUGAAAGUUGUUGGAGGAAGGGUUUUACCGUGGUGGCGAUUUUUGUGUUUAAUGGGGUCUUGCCGGCGACGGAGGGUUUGGUGAAGGCCACACAGAAGGUUUGUUUGUAUGGUUGUGGUUAGGUGAUUGUUAGGUGAUGAGUGUUGGAAUGCGGCGUAUCACGGUGCGGGUGGAAGGCGAAAUAUGGUAUUAAUGUUAUUGUGAGGGUCGAUGAAGAAAAAGAAGGGUAAAAGGAGAGGAAUGGCGAGGAGGAGCUUUGACGGGGGAAGGAGGUUGUAGGAGGAUGACGUCAGAGACCUGACGGGGGAAGGAGGUUGUAGGAGGAUGACGUCAGAGACCUUUGGGAGAAGAAGAGGGUCCUUCCCAAGAGAGAAAGAUCAAAAAUUCUUUAAUUCGUCUCUUUCGUUUUCUUUUAUUUUUUUUCUAGCAGACCAAAAGAGAGAAUUCUGUUGGUGAGUGGGGAUGAAACCAAUCCCUUUUUGAUUGGUGGGAGCGGUCCCUCUCUAAUCCCUUCACCAACUAUUAAUCAAUUUAUUUUCUACUCCUUUUUUUUGUUUUUUCGCCAGCUGUCCUCUUGGAGAGAGGGAGUACUAUUGUGAGCUGUCAUCAACAAUGUCGUUGGGAAUGGAAGGG
rnacentral:lncRNA from 1 species